AAGUCGUAACAAGGUUUCCGUAGGUGAACCUGCGGAAGGAUCAUUAUUGAAUACGAUUGGUACUGAUGCUGGCCCUUCACUGGGCAUGUGCUCGUCCAUCUAUUUAUCUUCUCUUGUGCACAUCUUGUAGUCUUGGAUGAACCCUUGCGCAUUCGUGCGGUCUGGGAGUUGCGAAUUAAAACCUUGCUUCUCCUGCUUGUCCAAGGCUAUGUUUUCAUAUACACUAUAAAGUUACAGAAUGUCAAUUAACGACUUGUGCUUGUCACGGUCAUUAAACCUAUACAACUUUCAGCAACGGAUCUCUUGGCUCUC
rnacentral:misc_RNA from 1 species